AGGGAAUCUUCCGCAAUGGGCGAAAGCCUGACGGAGCAACGCCGCGUGAGUGAUGAAGGUUUUCGGAUCGUAAAGCUCUGUUGCCAGGGAAGAACGUCGGGUAGAGUAACUGCUAUCCGAGUGACGGUACCUGAGAAGAAAGCCCCGGCUAACUACGUGCCAGCAGCCGCGGUAAUACGUAGGGGGCAAGCGUUGUCCGGAAUUAUUGGGCGUAAAGCGCGCGCAGGCGGUCACUUAAGUCUGGUGUUUAAGGCUAGGGCUCAACUCUAGUUCGCACUGGAAACUGGGUGACUUGAGUGCAGAAGAGGAAAGUGGAAUUCCACGUGUAGCGGUGAAAUGCGUAGAGAUGUGGAGGAACACCAGUGGCGAAGGCGACUUUCUGGGCUGUAACUGACGCUGAGGCGCGAAAGCGUGGGUAGCAAAC
rnacentral:rRNA from 1 species